UACAGAGGGGGCAAGCGUUGUUCGGAAUUACUGGGGCGUAAAGGGCGCGUAGGCGGCCGCCUAAGUCAGACGGUGAAAUCCCUCGGCUCAACCGGGGAACUGCGUCUGAUCUGGGUGGCUUGAAUUCGGGAGAGGGAUGCGGGAAUUCCAGGUGUAGCGGUGAAAUGCGUAGAUAUCUGGAGGACACCGGUGGCGAAGGCGGCUCACUGGCCCGAUACUGACGCUGACGGC
rnacentral:rRNA from 1 species